rnacentral:tRNA from 1 species
GCCCCCAUCGUCCAGCGGCCCAGGAUGUCAGGUUCUCAGCCUGGAGACCGGGGUUCGAAUCCCCGUGGGGGUACCA